GACGAACGCUGGCGGCGUGCUUAACACAUGCAAGUCGAAGGGGAAGGCCCGGCUGUUGUGUGGUGCUCGAGGGGCAAACGGGUGAGUAACACGUGAGUAACCUGCCCUGGACUGGGGGAUAACUGCAGGAAACUGGAGCUAAUACCGUAUAGUAGCGCCUCCGGCAGGGUGUGGGUUGGAAAGUUUCGGCGGUGGGGGAUGGACUCGCGGCUUAUCAGCUUGGUGGGGGGGUAGUUGCUUACCAAGGCGUUGACGGGUAGCCGGCCUGAGAGGGUGAGCGGCCCCAUUGGGACUGAGAUACGGCCCAGACACCUCCGGGAGGCAGCAGUGGGGAAUAUUGCACAAUGGGCGGACGACCGAUGCAGAAACGCCGCGUGCGGGAUGACGGCCUUCGGGUUGUAAAACGCUUUCGCAUGUGACGAAGCGUGAGUGACGGUAAUGGGUAAAGAAGCACCGGCUAACUACGUG
rnacentral:rRNA from 1 species